GCUGGGCAUGGUGGUGCGUGCCUGUAGUCCCAGCUACUCCGGAGGCUGAGGCAGGAGAAUCGCUUGAGCUCAGGAAUUCAAGGCUGCAGUGAGCUGAGAUCACGCCAUUGCACUUCAGCCUGGGCUACAGAAUGAGACCCUGUCUCAA
ensembl:misc_RNA Metazoa_SRP Metazoan signal recognition particle RNA